rnacentral:rRNA from 1 species
UUGGAGGGCAAGUCUGGUGCCAGCAGCCGCGGUAAUUCCAGCUCCAAUAGCGUAUAUUAAAGUUGUUGCAGUUAAAAAGCUCGUAGUUGAAUUUCGGGAUUAGUACGUUGGUCGUGCCUUCGGUACGUACUGGUGUUACUGAUUCCUACCUUCUGACGAACCAUCAUGUCAUUAAUUUGGUGUGGUGGGGAACCAGGACUGUUACUUUGAAAAAAUUAGAGUGUUUAAAGCAGGCUCGCGCUUGAAUACAUUAGCAUGGAAUAAUGAAAUAGGACGUUGACCCUAUUUUGUUGGUUUCUAGGAUUGACGUAAUGAUUAAUAGGGAUAGUUGGGGGCAUUAGUAUUCAAUUGUCAGAGGUGAAAUUCUUGGAUUUAUUGAAGACUAACUACUGCGAAAGCAUUUGCCAAGGAUGUUUUUAUUAAUCAAGAACGAAAGUUAGGGGAUCGAAGACGAUCAGAUACCGUCGUAGUCUUAACCAUAAACUAUGCCGACUAGGGAUCGGAUGAUGUUAUUUUUAAUGACUCAUUCGGCGCCUUACGGGAAAC